rnacentral:rRNA from 1 species
UGGGGAAUAUUGCACAAUGGGCGCAAGCCUGAUGCAGCCAUGCCGCGUGUAUGAAGAAGGCCUUCGGGUUUUAAAGUACUUUCAGCGGGGAGGAAGGGAGUAAAGUUAAUACCUUUGCUAAUUGACGUUACCCGCAAAAGAAGCACCGGCUAAGUCCGUUCCAGCAGCCGCGGGAAUGCGGAGGGUGCAAGCGUUAAUCGGAAUUACUGGGCGUAAAGCGCACGCAGGCGGUUUGUUAAGUCAGAUGUGAAAUCCCCGGGCUCAACCUGGGAACUGCAUCUGAUAAUGGCAAGCUUGAGUCUAGUAGAGGGGGGUAGAAUUCCAGGUGUAGCGGUGAAAUGCGUAGAGUUGUGGCGGAAUCCCGGUGGUGAAGGCGGACACCUGGACGAAGACUGACGCUCAGGUGCGAAAGCGUGGGGAGCAAACAGG